rnacentral:rRNA from 1 species
UACAGAGGUGGCAAGCGUUGUUCGGAAUUACUGGGCGUAAAGGGCGCGUAGGCGGCCAUCUAAGUCAGACGUGAAAUCCCCCGGCUUAACCUGGGAACUGCGUCUGAUACUGGACGGCUUGAGUAUGGGAGAGGAUGAGGGAAUUCCUGGUGUAGCGGUGAAAUGCGUAGAUAUCAGGAGGAACACCGGUGGCGAAGGCGCUCAUCUGGCCCAAUACUGACGCUGAGGCGCGAAAGCUAGGGGAGCAAACGGG